CUCUCAGCUGUCUCUUCUCCAGGCUAAACAACCCCAGCUCUCUCAGCUGCUCCUCACAAGACUUGUUCUCCAGCCCCCUCACCAGCUUCGUUGCUCUUCAAUCAUGUGAGGAACAGGUCAUGGCAGGAGGACAGAGUGAAGAUAUUUGGUUGUAGGAAGAGUGAAAGGAGACGGGAAGUGAAGAGAGAGACCAUGCGUGGAGAAGGGUAUGAUCUGCAAGAAGCUCCCAAGGACUGUGGAAAAUCUCCAAGUGAUGCAAAAGAUUUAGGACUUUAACUCAAACCAAUAUUGUCUUCCCUUCCCAGGAGAAGUAGGAGCUCAUUUUAUAAUGACAUCAAGAAUUCAUUCCCUUAAACGAGUGUUGCCAUGAAAAUUAUCAUGUCUGAGUUGAGAAAAUACCUUAAAUUAUGGUCAGGGAGGAGUUCUGCUGUUGCCUGAGUGAGAACACACCUGGGGAGUGGGGAUCUGCAACUACUUUGUGUCAGCAUGGUCGGAGAAAGGUGUCUCCGGCCAUAUUACAAAGAUAAUUCAUUUCAUCUCUAAGGAUGUUCUCCCCUGUCUCCUUUGUUGCUGGAAACAGUCCUGUGUAGGUGUGGGAAGAAGGACACACCUCAUGAAUAAAACCCAAAUGUUUUCAUAGCAGCAAGCUUCCUUGGCCAGUGGCAACUCAUCAGAAGAAGAAACGUUUCUGACUGCUAAGGCUGUAUAAAUCUAACUAAAUGUGGUGUUGGAGAGAGAUGGGCCACAUAGGUGACCUGGAGUCAUUCCAUGGCUAGAACACUGAAAUUCUCCUUUCAGUCACUCCAAUUUGGUACCAAUAGACGG